CCCUGGUUAGCUCAGUUGGUAGAGCGCUCCACUUGUAAUGGAGAGGUCCCGGGUUCGAUACCCCGACCAGGCG
rnacentral:tRNA from 1 species